rnacentral:rRNA from 1 species
CGGGCGUUAAGUUGCAGGGUAUAGACCCGAAACCCGGUGAUCUAGCCAUGGGCAGGUUGAAGGUUGGGUAACACUAACUGGAGGACCGAACCGACUAAUGUUGAAAAAUUAGCGGAUGACCUGUGGCUGGGGGUGAAAGGCCAAUCAAACCGGGAGAUAGCUGGUUCUCCCCGAAAGCUAUUUAGGUAGCGCCUCGUGAAUUCAUCUCCGGGGGUAGAGCACUGUUUCGGCUAGGGGGCCAUCCCGGCUUACCAACCCGAUGCAAACUGCGAAUACCGGAGAAUGUUAUCACGGGAGACACACGGCGGGUGCUAACGUCCGUCGUGAAGAGGGAAACAACCCAGACCGCCAGCUAAGGUCCCAAAGUCAUGGUUAAGUGGGAAACGAUGUGGGAAGGCCCAGACAGCCAGGAUGUUGGCUUAGAAGCAGCCAUCAUUUAAAGAAAGCGUAAUAGCUCACUGGUCGAGUCGGCCUGCGCGGAAGAUGUAACGGGGCUAAACCAUGCACCGAAGCUGCGGCAGCGACACUGUGUGUUGUUGGGUAGGGGAGCGUUCUGUAAGCCUGUGAAGGUGUGUCGUGAGGCAUGCUGGAGGUAUCAGAAGUGCGAAUGCUGACAUAAGUAACGAUAAAGCGGGUGAAAAGCCCGCUCGCCGGAAGACCAAGGGUUCCUGUCCAACGUUAAUCGGGGCAGGGUGAGUCGACCCCUAAGGCGAGGCCGAAAGGCGUAGUCGAUGGGAAACGGGUUAAUAUUCCCGUACUUGGUGUUACUGCGAAGGGGGGACGGAGAAGGCUAUGUUGGCCGGGCGACGGUUGUCCCGGUUUAAGCGUGUAGGUGUGUGUUCCAGGUAAAUCCGGUUCACUUUAACACUGAGGCGUGACGACGAGGCACUACGGUGCUGAAGCAACAAAUGCCCUGCUUCCAGGAAAAGCCUCUAAGCAUCAGGUAACAUCAAAUCGUACCCCAAACCGACACAGGUGGUCAGGUAGAGAAUACCAAGGCGCUUGAGAGAACUCGGGUGAAGGAACUAGGCAAAAUGGUGCCGUAACUUCGGGAGAAGGCACGCUGACACGUAGGUGAAGUGAUUUACUCAUGGAGCUGAAGUCAGUCGAAGAUACCAGCUGGCUGCAACUGUUUAUUAAAAACACAGCACUGUGCAAACACGAAAGUGGACGUAUACGGUGUGACGCCUGCCCGGUGCCGGAAGGUUAAUUGAUGGGGUCAGCGCAAGCGAAGCUCCUGAUCGAAGCCCCGGUAAACGGCGGCCGUAACUAUAACGGUCCUAAGGUAGCGAAAUUCCUUGUCGGGUAAGUUCCGACCUGCACGAAUGGCGUAAUGAUGGCCAGGCUGUCUCCACCCGAGACUCAGUGAAAUUGAACUCGCUGUGAAGAUGCAGUGUACCCGCGGCAAGACGGAAAGACCCCGUGAACCUUUACUAUAGCUUGACACUGAACAUUGAGCCUUGAUGUGUAGGAUAGGUGGGAGGCUUUGAAGUGUGGACGCCAGUCUGCAUGGAGCCGACCUUGAAAUACCACCCUUUAAUGUUUGAUGUUCUAACGUGGACCCGUUACCCGGGUUGCGGACAGUGUCUGGUGGGUAGUUUGACUGGGGCGGUCUCCUCCUAAAGAGUAACGGAGGAGCACGAAGGUUGGCUAAUCCUGGUCGGACAUCAGGAGGUUAGUGCAAUGGCAUAAGCCAGCUUGACUGCGAGCGUGACGGCGCGAGCAGGUGCGAAAGCAGGUCAUAGUGAUCCGGUGGUUCUGAAUGGAAGGGCCAUCGCUCAACGGAUAAAAGGUACUCCGGGGAUAACAGGCUGAUACCGCCCAAGAGUUCAUAUCGACGGCGGUGUUUGGCACCUCGAUGUCGGCUCAUCACAUCCUGGGGCUGAAGUAGGUCCCAAGGGUAUGGCUGUUCGCCAUUUAAAGUGGUACGCGAGCUGGGUUUAGAACGUCGUGAGACAGUUCGGUCCCUAUCUGCCGUGGGCGCUGGAGAACUGAGGGGGGCUGCUCCUAGUACGAGAGGACCGGAGUGGACGCAUCACUGGUGUUCGGGUUGUCAUGCCAAUGGCACUGCCCGGUAGCUAAAUGCGGAAGAGAUAAGUGCUGAAAGCAUCUAAGCACGAAACUUGCCCCGAGAUGAGUUCUCCCUGAGACUUAGAGUCUCCUGAAGGAACGUUGAAGACGACGACGUUGAU